UUAUAGUAGUUUAUUCUAUUU
rnacentral:piRNA from 1 species